rnacentral:lncRNA from 1 species
AACUUGCUGACAUUUUUACUAAGCCCCUCACAGGUGUAUUGCAUCAUUCCUUCUUGCCCAAGAUGGGUGUUCAGCCACCCUCCAGCUUGCGGGGGGGUGUUGAAGUAUUGGGCCAGCCCAAUAUAAAGGGCAAGCAGCCCAAUGUGCAAGACAAGCUGAUAGCCACAGACAUUACAUAAGUAGCCAGUUUUGAUAUUGCAAAUAUAGCCAUUCUUUUAUUUAUACAUUUACAACACAUGUAUACACACACACACGGAUAUUUUAAUUUUUGUACUUUUGUAUUUUUGAUAUAUUCGAGGGGUCAGAUGUACAAAACAUUCGAGGCAUUCAAUACACCGACUUUUUCAUUUUUCUCUCCUUUCUCUUUCUUCCGCACUGUUCAUCUCUGUGCUUUAAUCCUCACAUCCAUGGAUUCCAUGAAUGUUAACAAAUAAUAUCUCAAACCGAUAGUACAAGUCAUAAGCUUUACUGAAUUAUUUGUUUCGAAACUUAGUAGCUAAAACGUAUUUGCGUGUUAAAGGACGGGUUUGGGCUACUAAGUGGAACCAAACCAUUCAACACACGCGCAGAGAGAGAGAGACUUGAAGAAUCUAAGUGUAGAGCAGUACUUAUGACCAUACCAGUGGUUGCUAUGAGAAGGAAGCAGAAAAGCAAGAGGAGGAAGUAGACUUGAGACUUGGCCAUUGAUUCUUUAUACACUUUCUGCU